rnacentral:tRNA from 1 species
CAAAGUAUAGCUUAAAUAAAAGCACCCGGCUUACACCCGGAAGAUCUCAAAUAAACUGAUUACUUUGA